rnacentral:rRNA from 1 species
GCUCAACCGGGGAGGGUCAUUGGAAACUGGGGAACUUGAGUGCAGAAGAGGAGAGUGGAAUUCCACGUGUAGCGGUGAAAUGCGUAGAGAUGUGGAGGAACACCAGUGGCGAAGGCGACUCUCUGGUCUGUAACUGACGCUGAGGCGCGAAAGCGUGGGGAGCGAACAGGAUUAGAUACCCUGGUAGUCCACGCCGUAAACGAUGAGUGCUAAGUGUUAGAGGGUUUCCGCCCUUUAGUGCUGCAGCAAACGCAUUAAGCACUCCGCCUGGGGAGUACGGUCGCAAGACUGAAACUCAAAGGAAUUGACGGGGGCCCGCACAAGCGGUGGAGCAUGUGGUUUAAUUCGAAGCAACGCGAAGAACCUUACCAGGUCUUGACAUCCUCUGACAACCCUAGAGAUAGGGCUUCCCCUUCGGGGGCAGAGUGACAGGUGGUGCAUGGUUGUCGUCAGCUCGUGUCGUGAGAUGUUGGGUUGAGUCCCGCAACGAGCGCAACCCUUGAUCUUAGUUGCCAGCAUUCAGUUGGGCACUCUAAGGUGACUGCCGGUGAUAAACCGGAGGAAGGUGGGGAUGACGUCAAAUCAUCAUGCCCCUUAUGACCUGGGCUACACACGUGCUACAAUGGGCAGAACAAAG